rnacentral:lncRNA from 1 species
UUACUGCAUCAGAUUUUUAAUACAAUUCUAGUUACUGCAUCAGAUCUUCCUUCACAUAUAGGUGUCUAAUUUUAGUCAUCUCACUGGUGUAGUGGUGUUGCUUCUGGUGAAGUUGUAUUGUGCACUGAUGUAUAUGAAAGGGGUUAGUUGAGGGUUGUUGUGUAGGAAUGGAGUAGGUUAGGUGUCCAAAAGAAUUGGGUGAUAUCUGCAUAAUAUUAUGCAGCAUUUGAUUUUUCUACAUGUUGUACCUUUUGGCUUUGGUUACCUGAUGCAGUCUUGCACACAGGAGGCUCCAUAAACUUUGGUGAACAUAAGAAGAGGAUGGUAAGGCUCCAUAUUACAAUAAUCGUUGUAACUUUCUUUAUAAACACUUGCACCGAUAUUUUUAGAGACGAAGUCCAUAUAGAGAUGCUAAUUGUUGGCAAAUUUGGUGAACAUAGGAAGAGGAAUUGAAACAUGAAGUUUCAUAUAGGGAUGUAUAUGAACGGGUUCAUAAGAAGACAGAUGGACAAUAUAUCUCCCAACGCUCAAGAACGUAUAUUGUAAGUUACUUCAACUUUGAAAAAGUUAAUUGUAAUAUGAAUGUAGGUUGAUGUUAAUUAUUAUAUUCAAAAUGNNNNNNNNNNNNNNNNNNNNNNNNACUUUUGUGGGUCGCAGCUUAGACCUUAAUAGUUCUGUGCCUGCUUCAUCUGCAGAGGCAAACAUAAUAGUUACAUCAGAAGAAUUUAUCAAAAAAGCUGUUGAUAGAGCAAUGACUUCCUUUGUCCAGUCACAGUUGGCUCCAAUGUUGGAGCCAAUCCUAUCGAUGAUUCGGUCUAUGCAUAAAGCACCAAUGCAACUUGAUGUGGCUGAAAAAGUUCACAGGAAUUAAGGUGAU